rnacentral:rRNA from 1 species
CCCUUAGAUGUUCUGGGCUGCACGCGCGCUACACUGAUGCGAUCAACAAGUUUUUCCUAUGUCGAUAGACACGGGUAAUCUUUUGAACUCGCAUCGUGAUGGGGAUAGAUUAUUGUAAUUAUUAACCUUCAACGAGGAAUUCCUAGUAGGUGCAAAUCAUCAGUUUGCAUCGAUUACGUCCCUGCCCUUUGUACACACCGCCCGUCGCUGCUACCGAUUGGUUGAUCUGGUGAAUUAUUCGGACUGCCGGCUGAAGGGGUUUCCUCAUCUGCCAGCGGAAAGUCUUGUUAACCCUAUCAACUAGAGGAAGCAGAAGUCGUAACA